AGGAUGAACGCUGGCGGCGUGCCUAAUACAUGCAAGUCGAACGAGGUGCUUUUGUAGCAAUACGAGAGUAUCCUAGUGGCGAACGGGUGAGUAACGCGUUGGUGACCUACCCCAAAGUGUGGGAUAACAGUCCGAAAGGAUUGCUAAUACCGCAUGUGGUUAUUGGAUUUAGAAACCGGUAACUAAAGGAGCAAUUCGCUUUGGGAGGGACCUGCGUCCCAUCAGCUAGUUGGUGAGGUAAUGGCUCACCAAGGCUACGACGGGUAGGGGACCUGAGAGGGUGACCCCCCACAAUGGAACUGAAACACGGUCCAUACACCUACGGGUGGCAGCAGUAGGGAAUAUUGCACAAUGGGCGAAAGCCUGAUGCAGCAACGCCGCGUGUGUGAUGAAGGCCUUCGGGUCGUAAAGCACUUUUCUGGGAGAUGAGAAAGGACAGUAUCCCAGGAAUAAGUCUCGGCUAACUACGUGCCAGCAGCCGC
rnacentral:rRNA from 1 species